UUCCUAUACUUUCUAUUCAAUAUGAAAGGAAUUAAAUUCUAAAGUUUACUAAGCACAUUUACAAUAAAGACUUUCCCAUGUCCCUUAAUUCAAUGUUCUGCCUGCUUCCUCAUCUUUAAAAUGAGAGGGUUCUAAAAUCUAAGUUUACCAUGCAUGUAAAAAAAAAAUGUUCUCAUACCCCCAAUUCAAUAAUCAGUCUCAUUUUCUAAGCCUGCAAUAUAGGGAGAAGGGGAGGUAAGCCUUGAGAUCCUUUCUAGUUCUCAAUCUAGGAUGCUAAGGCAUUCAAGAUUACACCUUGCGUAUACAUGGAAGAAAACGUUCCCAUAACCCCGUAAAUUAAAAACCAGGCUCCUAUCUACAUCUGUAAAAUGAGAAGGGGGUGGGGGUGGAUUUAAUGGACCUCAAAGUCCCUCCCAGCUCGAAAUCUCUGAUCUAGGACAUUCUAGUUUACCACGCAUACAUAAAACCUUCCCGAGGCACUAAUUCCUACAAAAGGAAACCGUGCAAAUACACAUAGGAAAUAAACGAUUAAAUGCAAUAGGAUAAUAGAGAUGGAGAAACUGAGGCCCACAGAGGAAAGGAAUUGCCUGAAAUCCUACAGAAGAUUCUUCCCCCAUACUGACAGAAAAACAAGCUAAGCAACUCCUAAGAAGUCGGAGGCAAGAUCGGCCCAGCAAACCUGGUUUUCCUGAUGAGCCAAUGCGGGUGAAUGCUUUUUAAAAUCAAUUUUAAAGAAAAUAAGGUCAUUUUUAAUCAUAACUAUUCAAGGUCUCCAAUUGAAGAAAGAUAAUUUAAACAUCAAAUUGGGGCAAUUCCUAAGCCAAAUAUUACAAUUUUAAAACCAAGCAUCUAUUAAAUCUUUAUUAUUAUUAUUUAUCAAUUUCUUACUGAGAGACAGAAUUUGAGGGAGGGGCAAGAACACUGGACAAGUACUAAGGGACUAUUUUUUCCU